GACGAACCGAGCGAACGUUGUUCGGAAUCACUGGGCUUAAAGGGCGCGUAGGCGGGUGCUCAAGUCCGGGGUGAAAUCCCACAGCUCAACUGUGGAAUUGCCUCGGAUACUGGGUGUCUCGAGGAUGGUAGGGGUAUGCGGAACUAUCGGUGGAGCGGUGAAAUGCGUUGAUAUCGAUAGGAACUCCGGUGGCGAAGGCGGCAUACUGGACCACUUCUGACGCUGAGGCGCGAAAGCCAGGGGAGCGAACAGG
rnacentral:rRNA from 1 species